GUCCCGACGGCCACGUUGGAAACCACCGCAUUACUUCUUCAGACAACAAUAACUGAGUGGCUAACCCAAACUGCAUGAUAACAUCAAAUGGAGUACUUGGCUUCUCUAACAAGACAGGAAAGACAACAGGAAAAAAAUAUGUUUACAGAUUCCCCGCAAUCAUGAAACCCCAUUGGUGACACCAAGGUUUACCAGCUGACCUCAAGGCACCCAUGUCAACUGGCUUACCACUGAAGAUGAGCAAUGCUGCAGUAGCAUCAGUUUCUACUUCACCAUUUUCCAGAUAUGAAAGGAGACAUCCCUCAAUUAUACAAUAUGGUUGUUAUAUGCUUUGCUUUGAUCAAUUUAAAAUAUUCAGUUGUGCCAUUUGAGUAGAGCACCUUCACCUUGUCAUCAUAGAAAAAGUGCCCUCUUACACCAUAUUAAUAUAUAAAAUGUCAUUUGGAAGGUGUAAAAAAAAACAACUAUUGUUUACAAUAUUGUACUUUAAUAACAGGCUACGUUGUUGUAUGGGUGAAAUAAAGUAUUGUCAUCUCUGCGUUGCCUAGCCCCAUUGAAUAAAACAUUCUUAUACCAACUAA